AACCAGCAAAUUAGGACCUUGUGGUCAAUUCCUGAAUCCCAUCUUGCUCUUGAGUUCCAGGUCAAGUUAUGUUCUCAUCUGUCAAGCUGACUAAUAAGAAGAAUAAAGUCAGAAGGCAGAUGAUCCCUCAUGAGUGCAUUGGGACCAAGACGAGGGGACUGAAGAUAACUUGGAAGUGUUCAGAAAAGGAUGGAUGAAUGACACUUGACUAGGGCAAAAUGAGCACGAACAGUUCUAUUGGGCAUAUGAGGUGGGAAGCACAGUACUUGGUAUCCUUUGAAAUGAAAUAUACCAGGUCAAUUAGACUUUAUGUGAGAGAAGAGACAAGGAAAGUGACAUCCUUUCAUCCAGGACAGGUCACUGUCCAUUCCUUGUGUGAGAGGCCAAAUGGAGCUGUGUACUUGGAAAGCUGCUGAAUCCCCCAGUGAGAUGAAGAUAUUGCAGAUAAAGGAUUUCCUGGUCUGGAUCCUCUUCAUGAAACU
rnacentral:lncRNA from 10 species